rnacentral:rRNA from 1 species
AUUGAACGCUGGCGGCAGGCCUAACACAUGCAAGUCGAACGAGUGGCGGACGGGUGAGUAAUGGAUGGGAAACUGACCGAUGGCGGGGGAUAACUACUGGCAACGGUAGCUAAUACCGAAUACCACCAGAUGUACCCAGAUGGGAUUAGCUUGGUGGUGGGGUAACGGCUCACCUAGGCGACGAUCCAUAGCUGGUCUGAGAGGGUGACCGACCACACUGGAACGGAGACACGGCCCAGACGCCUACGAGAGGCAUCAGUGGGGAAUAGUGCACAAUGGACGCAAGCCUGAUGCAGCAAUGCCGCGUGUAUGAAGAAGUCCUUCGGUUUUUAAAGUACUUUCAGCGGGGAGGCGUUACCCGCAGAAGAAGCACCGGCUAACUCCGUGCCAGCAGCCGCGGUAAUUC